AUGUAAAUUACCUUUAUUAAGAGUGAAUCAGGUUGUCGAUUAAUGCCAGGAAUUUACUUGGUGACCCCAACUAUUUACAUGUGAAACCUGCCUAUCUAGUGAUGAGACUAUGAAUCUCCUCGGAAGCAAGAUAUUGAGUUGGGGGAAAGGUGUGGUUGACCGAGACAGUCUUCUUCCACUGCAAUAGCCAGACGAGAUUGGUGCUGUUCGGCGCAUGCAGUUUUGAGUUUUAACUGUCAACUGUUGCUUGUGACAUCUUUGAUACAGUGUGCCAAAUCCAUCUUAACCGCAUGCUGGUCACUGUGGAAUUGCUGCAGCCAUUGCCAUGUUGCAUAUGAUAUUUUCGAAGGUAUCCCCAUGCUGCUGCGGCAUUUGUGCAAGAAAAGGAUAAAGGCCAUAAUGGCAAACAAGCUGACAGCCUUUCAUCACCUAAAAUUGACACUGCAAUGGUGUAAGUAAUUGGUGAAGGUUUUGUACUCUUGGUUCUCACCAAGAACUGCAACUCCAGCAGAACGUUUAUUCAUGUGAAGUAAUAAGGCCACGGUGAAAUGCAACUCUGCAAGAAGUACACUAGCUUAGCUAACAUGUUCUUAUUAGUAGCUUAACUGACUUGAAAACGUUUCAGAAUUGGAGUGCU